rnacentral:rRNA from 1 species
GAUGAACGCUGGCGGCGUGCUUAACACAUGCAAGUCGAACGAUUAAAGCCCCUUCGGGGGUGUAUAGAGUGGCGAACGGGUGAGUAACACGUGGGCAACCUGCCCCUCACACUGGGAUAACUCAGGGAAACUUGAGCUAAUACCGGAUACUCCGUACUGAUCGCAUGGUCGGUUCGGGAAAGCUCCGGCGGUGAGGGAUGGGCCCGCGGUCCAUUAGCUUGUUGGUGGGGUAAAGGCUCACCAAGCCGACGAUCUGUAGCUGGUCUGAGAGGACGACCAGCCACACUGGGACUGAGACACGGCCCAGACUCCUACGGGAGGCAGCAGUGGGGAAUUUUGGACAAUGGGCGAAAGCCUGAUCCAGCAAUGCCGCGUGCAGGAAGAAGGCCUUCGGGUUGUAAACUGCUUUUGUACGGAGCGAAAAGGCUCUCUCUAAUACAGGGGGCUCAUGACGGUACCGUAAGAAUAAGCACCGGCUAACUACGUGCCAGCCGCCGCAGUAAGAC